GUCAUAGCUCAAUGGCAGAGCACUUGCCUAACGUGCGUGAGGCACUGAGUUCGAUCCUCAGCAUUACA
rnacentral:tRNA from 1 species